GUGAGGAAUUUUCCGCAAUGGGCGAAAGCCUGACGGAGCAAUGCCGCGUGAAGGAUGAAGGCCUAUGGGUUGUAAACUUCUUUUCUCAGAAAAGAAUUAUGACGGUAUCUGAGGAAUAAGCAUCGGCUAACUCUGUGCCAGCAGCCGCGGUAAGACAGAGGAUGCAAGCGUUAUCCGGAAUGAUUGGGCGUAAAGCGUCUGUAGGUUGUUUAAAAAGUAUUCUGUCAAAGAUUAGGGCUUAACCCUAGAUGGGCAGAAUAAACUUUUAAGCUAGAGUUUGGUAGAGGCAGAGGGAAUUCCCGGUGGAGCGGUGAAAUGCGUAGAUAUCGGGAGGAACACCAAAGGCGAAGGCACUCUGCUGGGCCAAUACUAACACUGAGAGACGAAAGCGAGGGGAGCAAAUGGGAUUAGAAACCCUGGUAGUCC
rnacentral:rRNA from 1 species